GGCCCAAUGGUCUAGAGGUAAGAUACUUGCUUUGGGUACUUCGGUGCGAUUGCAAGGGAUCCCGGGUUCGAAUCCCGGUUGGGCCC
rfam:Trametes versicolor FP-101664 SS1 unplaced genomic scaffold TRAVEscaffold_12, whole genome shotgun sequence.